rnacentral:rRNA from 1 species
GGUGAACGCUAGCUACAGGCUUAACACAUGCAAGUCGAGGGGAAACGACAUCGAAAGCUUGCUUUUGAUGGGCGUCGACCGGCGCACGGGUGAGUAACGCGUAUCCAACCUGCCCACCACUUGGGGAUAACCUUGCGAAAGUAAGACUAAUACCCAAUGACGUCUCUAGAAGACAUCUGAAAGAGAUUAAAGAUUUAUCGGUGAUGGAUGGGGAUGCGUCUGAUUAGCUUGUUGGCGGGGUAACGGCCCACCAAGGCGACGAUCAGUAGGGGUUCUGAGAGGAAGGUCCCCCACAUUGGAACUGAGACACGGUCCAAACUCCUACGGGAGGCAGCAGUGAGGAAUAUUGGUCAAUGGACGAGAGUCUGAACCAGCCAAGUAGCGUGCAGGAUGACGGCCCUAUGGGUUGUAAACUGCUUUUAUAAGGGAAUAAAGUGAGUCUCGUGAGACUUUUUGCAUGUACCUUAUGAAUAAGGACCGGCUAAUUCCGUG